rnacentral:rRNA from 1 species
AAGCUACACAUGCAGUCGAACGGUAACAGGAAGCAGCUUGCUGCUUUGCUGACGAGUGGCGGACGGGUGAGUAAUGUCUGGGAAACUGCCUGAUGGAGGGGGAUAACUACUGGAAACGGUGGCUAAUACCGCAUAACGUCGCAAGACCAAAGAGGGGGACCUUCGGGCCUCUUGCCAUCAGAUGUGCCCAGAUGGGAUUAGCUUGUUGGUGAGGUAACGGCUCACCAAGGCGACGAUCCCUAGCUGGUCUGAGAGGAUGACCAGCCACACUGGAACUGAGACACGGUCCAGACUCCUACGGGAGGCAGCAGUGGGGAAUAUUGCACAAUGGGCGCAAGCCUGAUGCAGCCAUGCCGCGUGUAUGAAGAAGGCCUUCGGGUUGUAAAGUACUUUCAGCGGGGAGGAAGGUGUUGUGGUUAAUAACCGCAGCAAUUGACGUUACCCGCAGAAGAAGCACCGGCUAACUCCGUGCCAGCAGCCGCGGUAAUACGGAGGGUGCAAGCGUUAAUCGGAAUUACUGGGCGUAAAGCGCACGCAGGCGGUCUGUCAAGUCGGAUGUGAAAUCCCCGGGCUCAACCUGGGAACUGCAUUCGAAACUGGCAGGCUUGAGUCUUGUAGAGGGGGGUAGAAUUCCAGGUGUAGCGGUGAAAUGCGUAGAGAUCUGGAGGAAUACCGGUGGCGAAGGCGGCCCCCUGGACAAAGACUGACGCUCAGGUGCGAAAGCGUGGGGAGCAAACAGGAUUAGAUACCCUGGUAGUCCACGCCGUAAACGAUGUCUACUUGGAGGUUGUGCCCUUGAGGCGUGGCUUCCGGAGCUAACGCGUUAAGUAGACCGCCUGGGGAGUACGGCCGCAAGGUUAAAACUCAAAUGAAUUGACGGGGGCCCGCACAAGCGGUGGAGCAUGUGGUUUAAUUCGAUGCAACGCGAAGAACCUUACCUGGUCUUGACAUCCACGGAAGUUUUCAGAGAUGAGAAUGUGCCUUCGGGAACCGUGAGACAGGUGCUGCAUGGCUGUCGUCAGCUCGUGUUGUGAAAUGUUGGGUUAAGUCCCGCAACGAGCGCAACCCUUAUCCUUUGUUGCCAGCGGUCCGGCCGGGAACUCAAAGGAGACUGCCAGUG